rnacentral:rRNA from 1 species
GAUCCUGGCUCGGGAUGAACGCUAGCUACAGGCUUAACACAUGCAAGUCGAGGGGCAGCAUGGUCUUAGCUUGCUAAGACCGAUGGCGACCGGCGCACGGGUGAGUAACGCGUAUCCAACCUGCCUUACACUCUUGGACAGCCUUCUGAAAGGGAGAUUAGUACAAGAUGUUAUCAUGAGUAAGCAUUUUCGCAUGAUUAAAGGUUUACCGGUGUAAGAUGGGGAUGCGUUCCA